AGGCCCUAGGGUCUAUAUUUAUACCCUUCUCAAAGAGCUAUAACCAGACACGAUUAGAACUCGAAUUCCAAAUUACACAGAAUCCGUAUACAAAAAAAUUUAAACAACUAAGGAAAAUACAAAACUACCCCCGUGACAGACUAGAACACCUUCACGAACCCAUCGGCAGCUUCCAGACUCUCCCUCCGUAUCAUCGGCGGACUCCCUUGUCGUGGUCAUCGGCAGAUUCCUUUGCCGCAGCCAUCGGCACGGACGCAUCAUCAUCUAUGGACUUAAUCACAUCCAACUUCU
rnacentral:lncRNA from 1 species